GGGAAAAGAAGCCUGGAGCAGGCAGUACAGUGGGAGAACAAGUUCAACCAAUCUACAAAGGCCAAAAAUAUUUUCACAGGCCCCCAAAAGAUGAACUCCAAUCUGCUGCCCCUAAACGCAUUCUCCACUGUCUGGAAGAUGUGCAAAGGCAACGGCACAGCGUUCUCCAUCUCAAAUCCUUCAAAGUGCUGUCAGAAUAAAAGAAUCCCCACCAAAAGCCCCAG
rnacentral:lncRNA from 1 species